UGGGGAAUAUUGGGCAAUGGGCGAAAGCCUGACCUAGCAACGCCGCGUGAGGGAAGAAGGGUUUCGGCUCGUAAACCUCUGUCCUAUGGGACGAAGGAAGUGACGGUACCAUAGGAGGAAGCCCCGGCUAACUACGUGCCAGCAGCCGCGGUAAUACGUAGGGGGCGAGCGUUGUCCGGAAUGAUUGGGCGUAAAGGGCGCGUAGGCGGCCCGUUAAGUCUGGAGUGAAAGUCCUGCUUUCAAGGUGGGAAUUGCUUUGGAUACUGAUGGGCUGGAGUGCAGGAGAGGAAAGCGGAAUUACCGGUGUAGCGGUGAAAUGCGUAGAGAUCGGUAGGAACACCAGUGGCGAAGGCGGCUUUCUGGACUGAAACUGACGCUGAGGCGCGAAAGCGUGGGGAGCAAACAGGAUUAGAUACCC
rnacentral:rRNA from 1 species